AGCUUUCUAAAAUCUCUUUAGGGGUGUGCGUAGGCUCCUGUGUCUAUGCUUGCUUUUGACUGCCCAGUCGAAGCCUCUUCCUUUACCUUUUUAAAUUUCACGCACUCUACGGAAGAAGAGCUCAGGGCUCCCCAAACUUUUUUUUGGUGGGAGGAAGGUUGGGCAGAUGGGUGCACAGAGCGUUGACCAAACUGGAAGAAAAUAUCUGUCCUUUAGUUUGGUGUUGGACAAGGGAAUUUUCCAAUCAGCCACACCUCUGUGUUGCGGCAAAAUAAUUCUUGGCUCCCCUGGAAACACAUGGGCAAGGUAGGGCAGAGCUGCUGCUGUCGAUAUUGCCACCACCCUGGGCUUCCUGCUGACUCGGGGCUACUCCCUGGGGACAAGAGAUUUGCAUUGACGUCCGGGGCUGUCCAGAGGCCCUCAGGAGCCAGUUGUGAGCUGAGUGAGCUGAGUGUGGGAAAGACCUACCUUCUGGAAGCUGCUGCUACCUGGUGCUUGGAAAGAUGACUCAGUGUAUCGGGAGCCGGGAGAUGGAGCUCUCAGCCGAGUGGCCAGGAUGUUCUGUCAACAUGAAAGCAGCAAAAACAGCUCGGGGCUCUGAGCCGAUCUUUAGCCUGGGGUCAUUUUCAGGAAGGGCUGGGCAGAGAAGAAGGCCGCCGCUUGACAUCAGGAUGGGGGCGACCCCAGAGAGCUUGGGAGAGUGCAGCUUGCUCCGUGAGUGGGUGACAACCUCUUGGCGACUCAGGCUCAGCUGAGGAUGGUGCCAGUGUGCCGAAGACAGCCGUCAUGCUGCCGGGUAGAAUGGCUCACUUGCAUUUAUUUGGAACAAAAAAAGGCGAUGCCUGGCAGCCCUGCUUUCUGCAGUACUGUCAAGACACAAAUUUGCGUGGUUCCGUGACCGUAAGUGCUGAUCGAUGUGACGUGAUCCUAGUCUUGUCAGUGAAUCGUCAGCCAGGCUGCUUAUUGGAAACCAGCUGCAACAAGGAACGCGGGGUUUGACCCCUUCCUGCCUCCCAGGAACCCUGAAACCAGCAUUCCCAGAGGCAAGAGGACGGACCAUCUGGGCUUGGCUUCCGGCACCCCUCCCCCACCCUGGCUGGAACUUGCAUCGGGCACCUGCUGUGUCACUGUCCUCUCUGAUGGAGCAUUAUGUCACGUCACAAGUAGAACCGCAAGAAGACGUUUCUCCCCAGGGCAGAGGCUGGGUCUUCCGAGCGCAUCUCCCUUCUUUCUUCAGUGAGAUCCUCUUCUUCUGGAAGCUGGUUUCACAUGGUGGCUUAGAUUUUUCCAUCUUUGUAUCUAGCACCAUUUGAAAUCAGUGUUUUAGGAGUAAGAAUUGCAGCACAGUGGAGGGCGGACCGCAGAGGAACCGACGCUCACGGGACUGGCUUCCCUCCUCUUGCCUCUUGAGCCUGUUCAAGGAGUCGAGGGAAGAACUGGAAAAGCGAAAUACGCUCUUGAGUAUGCUGGGUCUUCGGAGGGGUGACAGUGGGGGAGGGGGUUGUGUUUAAAAUAAACACAGUGGCUUGAGCAGGGGCAGAGGUUGCGAUGCUUUCUGUUGACUGCUGGCAGCCGCCACUAGCACCGGCAUGUUGGUAGGGCCUUUGAGCGUGGUGACUGUGUUAUUCCGUCGGGUAACGAUGUAUUGGGUAUUGGCUGUAACGGGGCAGGGACCAGAGGACAGUUCCAACCACGUCGACACUGUCGGCCUGCUCCUAGAGGAUGCCCUGGAGUGUUCAGCUUCGGUCGCCACCUGCAGUGUCAAGGCGCAGACACUAGGAGCACCGCUGGCCCAUCUCUUACACAGGCUGACCGAUUUCUCCUGGUGUUCAGAGUCUGUUUUUGUCUAGCACCAUUUGAAAUCGGUUAUGAUGUAGGGGGAAAAGCAGCAGCCUCGAAGCCUCAUGCCAAGUCUGCUCAGCAACAGCCUGUGGUUUCCUGGAAGAUGGAUGGGCAGAGAGUGGGGAAGGACAAUCACACUUUUCCCUGCUAACUUCUUUAACUGCAUGUAUGAUACGUUAUUGCAGAGGUAAGAGAUAUAAUUUAAUGGAUUUAAAAAAAAAAACAAAUUAAUUUAUCUGACGUCCUCAGUUGCUUUCUGCUGAAAUGUAGUACCGUUGUAAAUUCUAUAAAUUGGUUGCUGUUGAAUUAUCUUUGUGUUGAGAAGAGUCUAUUCAUGCAUCCCGACCUUAAUAAAUACUAUAUUAAAUU